UAAGGAAUAUUGGUCAAUGGGCGCAAGCCUGAACCAGCCAUCCUGCGUGCAGGAAGAAGGCCCUAUGGGUUGUAAACUGCUUUUGUCAGGGAAUAAACCUGUGGAUUUAUCCGCAGCUGAAGGUACCUGAAGAAUAAGCACCGGCUAACUCCGUGCCAGCAGCCGCGGUAAUACGGAGGGUGCAAGCGUUAUCCGGAAUUACUGGGUUUAAAGGGUGCGUAGGCGGCCCUGUAAGUCAGGAGUGAAAGUUUGCGGCUUAACCGUAAAAUUGCUUUUGAUACUGCAGGGCUAGAAUCAGGAUGAGGUCAGCGGAAUGUGGCAUGUAGCGGUGAAAUGCAUAGAUAUGCCAUAGAACACCAAUUGCGAAGGCAGCUGGCUAGACCUGCAUUGACGCUGAGGC
rnacentral:rRNA from 1 species